rnacentral:rRNA from 1 species
UACGUAGGGUGCGAGCGUUAAUCGGAAUUACUGGGCGUAAAGCGUGCGCAGGCGGUUAUAUAAGACAGAGGUGAAAUCCCCGGGCUCAACCUGGGAACUGCCUUUGUGACUGUAUAGCUUGAGUGCGGCAGAGGGGGAUGGAAUUCCGCGUGUAGCAGUGAAAUGCGUAGAUAUGCGGAGGAACACCGAUGGCGAAGGCAGCCUCCUGGGCCAGCACUGACGCUCAUGCACGAAAGCGUGGGGAGCAAACAGG